rnacentral:rRNA from 1 species
CGCGCAGGCGGUCGGAUAAGUCGAAUGUGAAAGCCCCCGGCUCAACUGGGGAGGGUCAUUCGAUACUGUUCGACUCGAAGGCAGGAGAGGGAAGCGGAAUUCCCGGUGUAGUGGUGAAAUGCGUAGAUAUCGGGAGGAACACCAGUGGCGAAGGCGGCUUUCUGGCCUGUUCUUGACGCUGAGGCGCGAAAGUCAGGGGAGCAAACG